rnacentral:rRNA from 1 species
AUUGAACGCUAGCGGCAGGCCUAACACAUGCAAGUCGAACGGUAGCACAGGAGAGCUUGCUCUCUGGGUGACGAGUGGCGGACGGGUGAGUAAUGCAUGGGGAGCUGCCCAAUCGAGGGGGAUACCAGCUGGAAACGGCUGCUAAUACCGCAUACGCCCUGAGGGGGAAAGGUGGGGACCUUCGGGCCUACCGCGAUUGGAUGCACCCAUGUGGGAUUAGCUAGUUGGUGAGGUAACGGCUCACCAAGGCGACGAUCUCUAGCUGGGCUGAGAGGAUGACCAGCCAAAAUGGAACUGAGUCACGGUCCAGGCUCCUACGGGAGGCAGCAGUGGGGAAUAUUGCACAAUGGGGGAAACCCUGAUGCAGCCAUGCCGCGUGUGUGAAGAAGGCCUUCGGGUUGUAAAGUACUUUCAGUGGGGAGGAAGGGUUGAUGUCUAAUACGCAUCAGCAUUGACGUUACCCACAGAAGAAGCACCGGCUAACUCCGUGCCAGCCGCCGCCGUAA